rnacentral:rRNA from 1 species
ACUCCUACGGGAGGCAGCAGUGAGGAAUAUUGGUCAAUGGACGCAAGUCUGAACCAGCCAUGCCGCGUGAAGGAUGAAGGCGUUCUGCGUUGUAAACUUCUUUUAUCUGGGAAGAAACCUACCUUUUCUAAGGUAGCCGACGGUACCAGAGGAAUAAGCACCGGCUAACUCCGUGCCAGCAGCCGCGGUAAU